rnacentral:rRNA from 1 species
UUAAGCGACUAAGCGUACACGGUGGAUGCCCUGGCAGUCAGAGGCGAUGAAGGACGUGCUAAUCUGCGAAAAGCGUCGGUAAGGUGAUAUGAACCGUUAUAGCCGGCGAUGUCCGAAUGGGGAAACCCAGUGCAAUUCGUUGCACUAUCGUUUGAUGAAUACAUAGUCAAACGAGGCGAACCGGGGGAACUGAAACAUCUAAGUACCCCGAGGAAAAGAAAUCAACCGAGAUUCCCCCAGUAGCGGCGAGCGAACGGGGAGCAGCCCGGAGUCUGAAUCAGCUUGUGUGUUAGUGGAAGCGUCUGGAAAGUCGCAGGGUACAGGGUGAUACUCCCGUACACUAAAGCACACAGGUUGUGAACUCGAAGAGUAGGGCGGGACACGUGGUAUCCUGUCUGAAUAUGGGGGGACCAUCCUCCAAGGCUAAAUACUCCUGACUGACCGAUAGUGAACCAGUACCGUGAGGGAAAGGCGAAAAGAACCCCGGCGAGGGGAGUGAAAAAGAACCUGAAACCGUGUACGUACAAGCAGUAGGAGCCUCUUUAUGGGGUGACUGCGUACCUUUUGUAUAAUGGGUCAGCGACUUAUAUUCUGUAGCAAGGUUAACCGUAUAGGGGAGCCGCAGGGAAACCGAGUCUUAACUGGGCGUUAAGUUGCAGGGUAUAGACCCGAAACCCGGUGAUCUAGCCAUGGGCAGGUUGAAGGUUGGGUAACACUAACUGGAGGACCGAACCGACUAAUGUUGAAAAAUUAGCGGAUGACUUGUGGCUGGGGGUGAAAGGCCAAUCAAACCGGGAGAUAGCUGGUUCUCCCCGAAAGCUAUUUAGGUAGCGCCUCGUGAAUUCAUCUUCGGGGGUAGAGCACUGUUUCGGCUAGGGGGUCAUCCCGACUUACCAACCCGAUGCAAACUACGAAUACCGAAGAAUGUUAUCACGGGAGACACACGGCGGGUGCUAACGUCCGUCGUGAAGAGGGAAACAACCCAGACCGCCAGCUAAGGUCCCAAAGUCAUGGUUAAGUGGGAAACGAUGUGGGAAGGCCCAGACAGCCAGGAUGUUGGCUUAGAAGCAGCCAUCAUUUAAAGAAAGCGUAAUAGCUCACUGGUCGAGUCGGCCUGCGCGGAAGAUGUAACGGGGCUAAACCAUGCACCGAAGCUGCGGCAGCGACACUAUGUGUUGUUGGGUAGGGGAGCGUUCUGUAAGCCGUUGAAGGUGGCCUGUGAGGGUUGCUGGAGGUAUCAGAAGUGCGAAUGCUGACAUAAGUAACGAUAAUGCGGGUGAAAAACCCGCACGCCGGAAGACCAAGGGUUCCUGUCCAACGUUAAUCGGGGCAGGGUGAGUCGACCCCUAAGGCGAGGCCGAAAGGCGUAGUCGAUGGGAAACAGGUUAAUAUUCCUGUACUCGGUGUUACUGCGAAGGGGGGACGGAGAAGGCUAUGUUGGCCGGGCGACGGUUGUCCCGGUUUAAGCAUGUAGGCGGAUGUUCCAGGUAAAUCCGGAACGUUACUAACGCUGAGGUGUGAUGACGAGGCACUACGGUGCUGAAGUGACAAAUGCCCUGCUUCCAGGAAAAGCCUCUAAGCAUCAGGUAACAUCAAAUCGUACCCCAAACCGACACAGGUGGUCAGGUAGAGAAUACCAAGGCGCUUGAGAGAACUCGGGUGAAGGAACUAGGCAAAAUGGUGCCGUAACUUCGGGAGAAGGCACGCUGAUAUGUAGGUGAAGUGGUUUACCCAUGGAGCUGAAAUCAGUCGAAGAUACCAGCUGGCUGCAACUGUUUAUUAAAAACACAGCACUGUGCAAACACGAAAGUGGACGUAUACGGUGUGACGCCUGCCCGGUGCCGGAAGGUUAAUUGAUGGGGUUAUCCGUAAGGAGAAGCUCUUGAUCGAAGCCCCGGUAAACGGCGGCCGUAACUAUAACGGUCCUAAGGUAGCGAAAUUCCUUGUCGGGUAAGUUCCGACCUGCACGAAUGGCGUAAUGAUGGCCAGGCUGUCUCCACCCGAGACUCAGUGAAAUUGAACUCGCUGUGAAGAUGCAGUGUACCCGCGGCAAGACGGAAAGACCCCGUGAACCUUUACUAUAGCUUGACACUGAACACUGGUCCUUGAUGUGUAGGAUAGGUGGGAGGCUUUGAAGUGUGGACGCCAGUCUGCAUGGAGCCAUCCUUGAAAUACCACCCUUUAAUGGCUGGUGUUCUAACGUGGGCCCGUUAUCCGGGUUGCGGACAGUGUCUGGUGGGUAGUUUGACUGGGGCGGUCUCCUCCUAAAGAGUAACGGAGGAGCACGAAGGUCAGCUAAUCCUGGUCGGACAUCAGGAGGUUAGUGCAAUGGCAUAAGCUGGCUUGACUGCGAGCGUGACGGCGCGAGCAGGUGCGAAAGCAGGUCAUAGUGAUCCGGUGGUUCUGAAUGGAAGGGCCAUCGCUCAACGGAUAAAAGGUACUCCGGGGAUAACAGGCUGAUACCGCCCAAGAGUUCAUAUCGACGGCGGUGUUUGGCACCUCGAUGUCGGCUCAUCACAUCCUGGGGCUGAAGUAGGUCCCAAGGGUAUGGCUGUUCGCCAUUUAAAGUGGUACGCGAGCUGGGUUUAGAACGUCGUGAGACAGUUCGGUCCCUAUCUGCCGUGGGCGCUGGAGAAUUGAGGGGGGCUGCUCCUAGUACGAGAGGACCGGAGUGGACGCAUCACUGGUGUUCGGGUUGUCAUGCCAAUGGCAUUGCCCGGUAGCUAAAUGCGGAAGAGAUAAGUGCUGAAAGCAUCUAAGCACGAAACUUGCCCCGAGAUGAGUUCUCCCUGACCCUUUAAGGGUCCUGAAGGAACGUUGAAGACGACGACGUUGAUAGGCCGGGUGUGUAAGCGCAGCGAUGCGUUGAGCUAACCGGUACUAAUGAACCGUGAGGCUUAACCUU